rnacentral:rRNA from 1 species
ACUACCCGCUGAACUUAAGCAUAUCAAUAAGCGGAGGAAAAGAAACCAACAGGGAUUGCCUUAGUAGCGGCGAGUGAAGCGGCAAAAGCUCAAAUUUGAAAUCUGGCACUUUCAGUGUCCGAGUUGUAAUUUGAAGAAGGUAUCUUUGGGUCUGGCUCUUGUCUAUGUUUCUUGGAACAGAACGUCACAGAGGGUGAGAAUCCCGUGCGAUGAGAUGACCCAGACCUAUGUAAAGUUCCUUCGAAGAGUCGAGUUGUUUGGGAAUGCAGCUCUAAGUGGGUGGUAAAUUCCAUCUAAAGCUAAAUAUUGGCGAGAGACCGAUAGCGAACAAGUACAGUGAUGGAAAGAUGAAAAGAACUUUGAAAAGAGAGUGAAAAAGUACGUGAAAUUGUUGAAAGGGAAGGGCUUGAGAUCAGACUUGGUAUUUUGUAUGUUACUCUCUCGGGGGUGGCCUCUACAGUUUACCGGGCCAGCAUCAGUUUGGGCGGUAGGAGAAUUGCAAAGAAAUGUGGCACUGCCUCGGUAGUGUGUUAUAGUCUUUGUCGAUACUACCAGCCUAGACUGAGGACUGCGGCUUCGGC